CCAACAUCUAGGUUAUUUCUAGCGUGCCGUCUUCUCCUCUCCUCUAUUCCACCAUCAUUACCUCCGACCAUUAUACACAGAUAAAUUUGCAUGAAACAAAGAACAAAGUGGAAUUAGGGUUGGUGGACUGAUUCGUGGACCAGCAAUUCUCUUUGAUUCGAUCAAGAGUUUUUGCUUCUUUCAAUCAUUUAGAGAAAGGAAUCUUCAGAUAUCAGGUCCGGUUGAUCCAUACGAAAGGCCAUGUAUACAGAACUUUAAAAUAAGGUGUUUGUGGUUUGGUGGACUAAGCACAUAAACUCUACAAAAUUGUUAUCUUCAAAAACAAAAACAAAAACUCAGAGUUGAGACCAUUGCUCAAUCAUUACUAAAGGAUCACGAUUUAUCUAGCAAAAUAAGAAAUAACAAUCGGGUCCUUAGAAAACUAUAUGAAUUUUGAUGGCAAGAAACAAAGACGAGAGCUCAGGUCAGUCACUAUAUGAGUGGAACAGAGACAAGAGUGAAUUCUUGAGUCAAUGCCAAAAGAUAUUUAGAAGAUGCGAAAGCUCCUAAGCAAGCUUUCCCUUCACACGUUUCUGUAUGGUUUUAGACGUGCGGAUCAGGCAUUCAAAAGAUCAAGGUCACUGUUAAAUCUACUCAGUUCAGACUUGAUGUUUUCAAGAAUGUUGAGAGCAAUGCUGAGGUCAAAGUUUUGGAUGUUGAUGCCUUUUUCAUAUCACACAUCCAACUGAACCAAGCAGAAAAACAGAGGUGGAGGACGUAUCGUGUACUGUAAGAAUCCGUAGUAUUUUUUUCUAUUUAUGCUACUCUUUUUUCAACUUUUGUUUUAGUCACAGUGUGCUGACUCUCCAUUUUGCUGCUUACAUGUCAAACCCAUGCCAUAUUGAGUUGAUUUUGUCAAAGAAGGAAGAGCCUCUGAGAAAGAGAGAAGCCAAAGAAAGGAGCUUCUUCUUGAGCUUUCGUGAUCAUUUGUGUUACAACGCUAGAUACACUUUGUUUACUUUUUUCCUCUCACUUUGUUUACUUUUUUUUUUUUACUUUCUCUUUCGUUAAGACAAGUAACCAUAAUUGUAAAGACAUAAUGAUGAUUGGUUUCUGGAUUACUCAAGUUUUAAACUCUUUAAA